AGGUCUGAUGUUAGAAAAAGUGUUUCUAUUUCUAUUUUCAUAAUCGUUCUGGGCUGUAAACAGAAGUUACUGCAGAACCUCAAGUGUUAAAUGAAGAUUCGGCCCAAUUAGAGUUCAUGAAAUAAACAUCAGAGAAAAUAUUGUAGCAAUAAUCAGAACCGCAGCAAAAAGCCAAACAUGCCACAA